GAAAAGGGCAUCUGCCGUCAAUGGCACGGGGAGGCGCCCCGUGGGGCGCUCCCCGCGGAAUCGCCAUCAUGAGAUUUCGGAUGCAUAAUUUUUAUAACCAGGAGCAGUUGAUCUCAAAGGAUCGGCGCUCCU